UACGAAGGGGGCUAGCGUUGUUCGGAAUUACUGGGCGUAAAGCGCGUGUAGGCGGGUCUUUAAGUCAGGGGUGAAAUGCCAAGGCUCAACCUUGGAACUGCCUUUGAUACUGGAGACCUUGAGUCCGGGAGAGGUGAGUGGAAUUGCGAGUGUAGAGGUGAAAUUCGUAGAUAUUCGCAAGAACACCAGUGGCGAAGGCGGCUCACUGGCCCGGAACUGACGCUGAGACGCGAAAGCGUGGGGAGCAAACAGGG
rnacentral:rRNA from 1 species